AAAUUGAAGAGUUUGAUCAUGGCUCAGAUUGAACGCUGGCGGCAGGCCUAACACAUGCAAGUCGAACGGUAACAGGAAGCAGCUUGCUGCUUUGCUGACGAGUGGCGGACGGGUGAGUAAUGUCUGGGAAACUGCCUGAUGGAGGGGGAUAACUACUGGAAACGGUGGCUAAUACCGCAUAACGUCGCAAGACCAAAGAGGGGGACCUUCGGGCCUCUUGCCAUCAGAUGUGCCCAGAUGGGAUUAGCUUGUUGGUGAGGUAACGGCUCACCAAGGCGACGAUCCCUAGCUGGUCUGAGAGGAUGACCAGCCACACUGGAACUGAGACACGGUCCAGACUCCUACGGGAGGCAGCAGUGGGGAAUAUUGCACAAUGGGCGCAAGCCUGAUGCAGCCAUGCCGCGUGUAUGAAGAAGGCCUUCGGGUUGUAAAGUACUUUCAGCGGGGAGGAAGGUGUUGUGGUUAAUAACCGCAGCAAUUGACGUUACCCGCAGAAGAAGCACCGGCUAACUCCGUGCCAGCAGCCGCGGUAAUACGGAGGGUGCAAGCGUUAAUCGGAAUUACUGGGCGUAAAGCGCACGCAGGCGGUCUGUCAAGUCGGAUGUGAAAUCCCCGG
rnacentral:rRNA from 1 species